AGGAGCAGCAAACAGCCAUGGAAGAAGAGUGCCCAAGAGUGACCACACCUGAAACCAAACACUGAAAGGACAUCGACUAAUGUGGAGCUGCUUCAAGACCUCUGACAACCCAAAUAGUGUUUCCAGUGUCACUUCACUUUCCGUGGGAGUUUGUGGGACACCUCCAGCAGUGACUUGCACUCUCACUUCCCAUGUGCCCUCAGCCACUGGAGGAAGGUGCAGUGGAGCUCAGGAGAUCUCUGCAGUCUG